GGAAAGUAAAUGUUGGUCAAAGUGUCACGCUGGCUGUGAUCAGAUACCAGUCACUGGCAAUUGACAUUACUUGCGAUUACGUCUUAUCUUACUGGAUUCCUGGAAGUUAUCACUAUCUGUUAACUGAAUCAUCAUUAUUGGACAAUUCAUUACAUUCCAGUCUGGAGUGCAAAUUGUUAAUAUCUACCUGCUUGAAUAUCCAUUAGACUGCACAUAAUUUGGCAUCACUGAGCUCUACACCACAAGGUGUAAAUAGGAAACACUCAAUUAGAUAAGCUUGGACUCUGCAUAUAUUGGCCAGGGGUGCACUGACAACGUAUGGGGCCCCCAGGCAAUAGGAAUGUAACAGUAGUGUGACACCAGGAGCAUAAGAC